GAUGAACGCUGGCGGCGUGCCUAAUACAUGCAAGUCGAGCGAACAGACGAGGAGCUUGCUCCUUCGACGUUAGCGGCGGACGGGUGAGUAACACGUAGGUAACCUACCUAUAAGACUGGGAUAACUUCGGGAAACCGGAGCUAAUACCGGAUAAUAUUUCGAACCGCAUGGUUCGAUAGUGAAAGAUGGCUUUGCUAUCACUUAUAGAUGGACCUGCGCCGUAUUAGCUAGUUGGUAAGGUAACGGCUUACCAAGGCAACGAUACGUAGCCGACCUGAGAGGGUGAUCGGCCACACUGGAACUGAGACACGAUCCAGACUCCUACGGGAGGCAGCAGUAGGGAAUCUUCCGCAAUGGGCGAAAGCCUGACGGAGCAACGCCGCGUGAGUGAUGAAGGUCUUCGGAUCGUAAAACUCUGUUAUUAGGGAAGAACAAACGUGUAAGUAACUGUGCACGUCUUGACGGUACCUAAUCAGAAAGCCACGACUAACUACGUG
rnacentral:rRNA from 1 species